AAAAUUAAAUAUGCCGUUACUCGUAUAUGUGCAGGAAUAGGCCUGCAUGUCUCUACCCGAUCACCGGAAUGAUCGGACUACGGGAAAGAUCUGCAACGUU
rfam:Paenibacillus sp. MAEPY2 contig30, whole genome shotgun sequence.